CGUACACUCCUACGGGAGGCAGCAGUGGGGAAUAUUGCACAAUGGGCGCAAGCCUGAUGCAGCCAUGCCGCGUGUAUGAAGAAGGCCUUCGGGUUGUAAAGUACUUUCAGCGGGGAGGAAGGCGAUAAGGUUAAUAACCUUGUCGAUUGACGUUACCCGCAGAAGAAGCACCGGCUAACUCCGUGCCAGCAGCCGCGGUAAUACGGAGGGUGCAAGCGUUAAUCGGAAUUACUGGGCGUAAAGCGCACGCAGGCGGUCUGUCAAGUCGGAUGUGAAAUCCCCGGGCUCAACCUGGGAACUGCAUUCGAAACUGGCAGGCUAGAGUCUUGUAGAGGGGGGUAGAAUUCCAGGUGUAGCGGUGAAAUGCGUAGAGAUCUGGAGGAAUACCGGUGGCGAAGGCGGCCCCCUGGACAAAGACUGACGCUCAGGUGCGAAAGCGUGGGGAGCAAACAGGAUUAGAAACCCCAGUAGUCCCAUG
rnacentral:rRNA from 1 species